AUUGAACGCUGGCGGCAGGCCUAACACAUGCAAGUCGAGCGGAUGAAGGGAGCUUGCUCCUGGAUUCAGCGGCGGACGGGUGAGUAAUGCCUAGGAAUCUGCCUGGUAGUGGGGGAUAACGUCCGGAAACGGGCGCUAAUACCGCAUACGUCCUGAGGGAGAAAGUGGGGGAUCUUCGGACCUCACGCUAUCAGAUGAGCCUAGGUCGGAUUAGCUAGUUGGUGGGGUAAAGGCCUACCAAGGCGACGAUCCGUAACUGGUCUGAGAGGAUGAUCAGUCACACUGGAACUGAGACACGGUCCAGACUCCGACGGGAGGCAGCAGUGGGGAAUAUUGGACAAUGGGCGAAAGCCUGAUCCAGCCAUGCCGCGUGUGUGAAGAAGGUCUUCGGAAUGUAAAGCACUUUAAGUUGGGAGGAAGGGCAGUAAGUUAAUACCUUGCUGUUUUGACGUGACCAACAGAAUAAGCACCGGCGAACUUCGU
rnacentral:rRNA from 1 species